GGACCCGCACAAGUAGUGGAGCAUGUGGUUUAAUUCGAAGAUACGCGCAGAACCUUACCAACACUUGACAUGUUCGUCUCGACUCUAAGAGAUUAGAGUUUUCGGUUCGGCCGGACGAAACACAGGUGCUGCAUGGCUGUCGUCAGCUCGUGUCGUGAGAUGUUGGGUUAAGUCCCGCAACGAGCGCAACCCUCACUUUUAGUUGCCAUCAUUAAGUUGGGCACUCUGAAAGAACUGCCAGUGAUAAGCUGGAGGAAGGUGGGGAUGACGUCAAGUCCUCAUGGCCCUUACGUGUUGGGCUACACACGUGCUACAAUGGUAUCUACAACAGGAAGCAAGACUGCGAAGUUAAGCAAAUCCUUAAAAAAUACCUCAGUUCGGAUUGCACUCUGCAACUCGAGUGCAUGAAGCUGGAAUUACUAGUAAUCGU
rnacentral:rRNA from 1 species